UUCACAAUGAAAUUUGAUAAAUAAAAAGAAAUGUUGGUCUUGUAUAAAGAGAAUUCAUUUAAAGCUUUUUUUAUUAAACCCCCAAUUGCAGAAAAUUUCUGGACGAUACUAGCAAAACAUUCAUCGGACAUUCCUGAAACGGAGAUGGUCGGAUCGAGUUCAAAUGUGCUUGAGGUUUUGUUCCAUGGAAACACUGUGCUUUCAAAUCCUUGUGGUAAACCAGCCACGCAAUUGAAAAUAGUUGCUAAAGGGUAAACUUGCAGUGCAGAAAAUAAUGGUUUCGGACUCCAAUCCUGAUUAUGAAGAAAAUAAUCAUAUACCCGAGAAGGCGCUUCAGAUAUGAAUGGAGAUCUAGCUUCUAAAUUUUUAAAAUUUUCUCCAUCCCAGCUAGGGCAUGUUAGCAGAACUUUGUUUUCGACAGAUAAAUCGCUGGGUGAUGAAUCUGUAAGAUAAGAGGGGGACACUGAGGAUUUAGCUCUUUUUCUUUCUGAAGUAAUUUCCUUAGAUGCGCUUAUGAGUUUGGAAUUGGAUGAUGUCUCACACCCAGGCACAGCGGGUGUUAGUUGUUGAUUUGAAAUAUCGAGAAUGACAUCUUUUCCCAACAGAUCAUCGUUUACUUGAAAUGAAAAGUUUUGAAAGUAUUCCGAGGAGUCAAAUAACUUCCUCUUCAAUCCUUCUUUUCCCUCAAAUUUCGAAAGCUGCUCGACAAAAUCAGAAUCAAAUGAAUUUGGCGUAAGGUCGAAAACGUGGUUGCCGAACCAUAACAAGUCGUUUUUCAUAAUUCCAUCCAUUCCAUUUUUAUUUCAAAAUCAUCUAUUUUAGUGGUACAUUUCAAGAUCCAACUCCUUUACUGGAAAACACUCUUGUUAUGAAUUACUAAAAUUUGGCAAUAUGUGUGUAGUUAAUGUAUAAUGUUGUUAACGUAGCGAAUUAAGAUGACUUCUUAUCUAGAACAGUCAGGAUUAGAAGAUGUGAAUGAAGUAUGCGUCUCUUAAACUAAGAAAUGGAACGUUAGUAAUUGAUCCUAACAUUGAAACCAAUUCAAAAAUCCGUACUCUCGUGGCCGUACAACAGAAAAUACUGACAUGGAGUUAAAGGUAUCCAGGAUGAAUAAAACAGAAUGAUAAAUUGAACAAAAACUAUCAGUUGUUAAGGAAUUACUAUUGCACAAUUGCAUAAUCUAUCCAAAACGACAUUCCAGCAUUUAAUUUUAAGAGAGUGCUAUGUGGAUAAAACGUAUCCUUUAUGGAACUAUAAGAGCUCUUUUAUGCUUCUCUGGUUAGUACAUUUAGAUUUUUUUAAAAAAAAGUUUAUUGUACUAUUCGUGAUAUUAUGGUUACAGUAUACCUCGCUGGCUUGAUCGUUUAUUGUCCAGAGAGCUCGCAUGCGAGUCAAAGCUGAAUGAAUGGUAUCUUCAUAUAAAAAAAGUCUAUUUGGAGAAUUUUGGAUCCUUCAACAAAUUUAUUUGAAGUACUUAAUGUUCUUUCUUAAUUUUUCUCAUAAAACCAUGUGUCAAGCAAUGAAGGAUUUAAAUAUUGUUGGCAAAAGAAAUGUUGCAAUCACUAAUUCAAGUUUGUUUAGAAGCUUGCAUUAUAUAGUUAUCGACUUUUCUUUUGCCUUUGGAAAGGGAUAUCUUCAUUAUUCUUAAUGAAACAGUAUAAAAUUCUUUUAAACACUAGACUAGAUAAGUUGUUUUAAUUCUUUCUCAAAAAACAUAAACGACAGUCUAACUCUAAAAUAAUCGGGAUUUUUGUGACACCAAUGGUAUAAAAAUGAUUAAUUAAAAAUUUUUGCGGAUAACACAAGACUUUGUACUUUGUAUUACUGGAAAAUUUAGCUAAUUAAAAAGGAGAACACAUAAGCAAUGUAUUCUGGAGGUCAAAAUCAAUUGAUUUUAACCUCCAAAUAUCAGCUUGAUGUACCUUUUUUGCCAUGACGAUAAUACAUACAGGACUUUAUAAAAAUCAGCUUGGAUUAAAUGACAACCUACUUAUCUAGAAAUAGAAUUUAAAAUAAACAUUCAGUACCCCCAAAUCCUUUUUAUAAAUUAAGACUAACUAUCACUAUCAGAUUCCAAGUUUAUACUUGGCAAAGAGAUAUUGUCUUCCUCCUCAUCAUCUUCUCCGUUUCCUUCCACAUUAAUAGAAGUCGUUUUCUCAUCUACGACAUCCGUUGUUUUUUCAAAAGUUUCGACGACUGAAGAAGUUGUGUUUCCAUUUUCAUCACCAUUUAUGUUUUCAAUUUGGCUUGAAACUACACUAGUAGGUCGGUCAACAAAGUCAACGUCUAUAGCAGUAAAUUUGGUUUCAGUGUCCUGAGAAUUGUUUAAUGCAACAUUUGUAGUCUCCUCAACCUCAACAUCUCCAUGCAACAGUGAAACAGUUGUUUCCUUGUUUUCCGAAACAAUGUUAAUGUGAUCAGUCCCGUGAUUAAUAGUUGAAGGUUGAGAAGAGUUGAUUUCACUACCUUCUUCAUUUCUGUCACCCUCAUUAGAAAGAACAUUAGACAUAGUCAGCUCUGAUUCGCUUCUUUUGUUCUCGGAGGUAGCUGUAGAAUUAUUCUGUAAGCCUGUAUCUGUAGAUGCAAAAGACUCUUUGAUCCCUUCAAUUUCAGUGGAAUCUGUAAUCGACUCUGUUUCAAAGGGAGGAUUUGAUGGAGCCAAAAUACUACUUUCUUUAUACUCUGAUUGAGAAUCCACCUGGGGUGGAGAAAUAUGCGAUUGGUUUUCAAGAGAAACAGGCUCAAAUCUUGACUCAAACGUAUUUUCAAAUUCGCUUGGUGAAAGAUGUUUUUGCAAAGGUGGGAACCUAGGAUGAAUCAGCGAUUCUAUUGUUUGCAUCGAUGACCUUGCGUGUGAAGCGACCAGAGGAUCUGGAUGUACAAGCCCUAAUGGACCAGAAAUUAUACGUAUUGCAUGAGGUACUAUCACUGCUUGUGAAUCUCCCGGUGAUAAAAUUGACGCAAGGAGUAAAUUAUGCAUAGAUAUCAAAACUGUUGAGGUAGGGUUAGACAAAGAUAUCUGCAAGGUGCAAAGAUCUAUUUUGGUCCGUAAUAAACGUGGUAAUGCUAUUGAAUGAGUCAAAAUGGAUGCUAAAAAAGAAAAACAACAAUCCAUGACAUCUGAAUCAUAAAGCUGAUGAGACUCUUCCGAACUCAUAAGUGUAUCUCCUGCUUGACUUUCAGAAAGUGUUUUUCGCUUUUUUUGAGAAUGCCCACGAUUUUUAGAGAACUCUAUGGAUUUGGAUGCUAAACCUUUAGAGGAAUUAGCAAGAUAUUCUAAUACCAGCGUUACAAUAUUUUCGUAUUUUGAAAGAGGGACAUUCAUAUGUGUCACAUCCAAAAACUUUGAAAGUAACUUUAAAGAAGAGCAUAAAACCCCAGUAUGUGUUGACUCAGAAAGUAAACAAUCAUUUAAUGAAUCCAGGUAAG